UUGCAAAACAGACCAAGCGGACCAGGCCAUGGUCAUGCGCUAGUUAACGUCGACCCCGCAUCACCUACAAGCAUGAUCUGGUAUUUUUUAUUGGAGAAGCAGUUUCUGCCCAUCUUCAUACUGGGUCUUUGCUGCAGUGGUAACCUUGUGCCACCAUACUGCAGUUCUGCAAGUUACAUCCUAGCCUCGUUCAUCAUGGACACCCCACUUACUUACCUAGCAAGCUGAUGCAGAGUCAGAGAAGAAAAGGUGAAACUGUAUAUAUACACCAACAUCUUUGGCUGAAGUUAUUGGAGAGAUGUGCUGUGCAUGAUACCUUUAGCCCUGAUGUAUCGCCAUCUGAGAUUGGCAUCUGUCCAGUACCACAGUGCACAGAUGAAGCACGAGCAAGAACUGGUUGAUAUGAAGGGACUGGUGGAGAGAACCAGGCCACUAAUGACAAAAGCAGAACAUGAAAACAUUCUGCUAGCCGAUGAACUGUGUUUGAAAACUGAACAAUUAAAAGUAAUUGCAAAAACUUAUGAUGAUGAAUGAGCACAAACUCUUCAACAAAAUCGUUUUCUACCGUAACAACUCGAUCUAGCCAGAACUAAAUACGAUGAAGUCCACGCCAAACUAGAUAAAUCUAGUCAAGCUAUCUACAAACAGGAGCGUGCAACUUGAUAACAUGCAUGCAGUUUUGAUGAACGUUACUCAAAACAAUAAUGUUCGAGUCCAAAACCUGCAGACCAAAGACGAUCAGUUAAUGAACACAAGGACCAAGAUGGUUGACAAAUCAGCAGAACUCAUUGAAGUCGCUGACCAAAUGAAUGAUGAGAGAACUCAUGUGAUGAAGAUGGAAAUAUUGAUUUCUAAGCAAGCAGAGGAAAUCUCAUCACUGAAUCUCUCGCUCUGUACUCAAGACCUCUACCUGCAAACUAUGACAAAUAACACUCACAUGUCUAAAUUCAGUACUCAAAGUGCUCAAGUGGACUCUGCUAUGCAGCAGAAUACCUCCCUUAGGUACCAUCUGCAGGAAUUCCAGAAAAGUCACGCGCAACAGCGUGAAUACCCAACCAAGCAACUGGAGCAUUGAGAGAUGACACACAAUAAUAGUUUCUGCCACGAAACCACGAGACCAAUACCCACCGCAGUCUAAAUAACUGGAGAGUACGUCACUAUUCGAAAUGACUACCACUACAAUCAACCUCUUUUCACCAUGAACAGAAAUGACACAUCACGUCAUUGCGAACAACCACUCCACUUUGUGGGGAAUAUGACCACAAAACGCAAAUCAAACAGCCCAUAAACAGUCCUAGAGGACUGCUUAACUUGUGAAGCGCAAAUUGAUUUGGGCUCGACAAUAUCGCUCGUCUCUCAAACAUUAUUCAAUGGUCUCAAAAGAUAUUUGAAGCCAACUAAACGUUGGUUAAAAAAGGAACGAUGCAACUCUACACUUCGAGGUUUCACUCAGACUACCGCGCCUCUCACAUUGAGACUCAUGCUGAAACUACUCUUCCAGGACGUAUCGCUCGUUCACCCUGUGUAUGUUACCAGCCUAGAAUCUGAACCACUGCUACUCGGAACAGAUUUAAAGGAUCAUUUGGAUUGAAAAACCAACCAAGUAUGGUCACAGGUCACCGUGCCAUCUCCACUGACCACACUGUCUUCUCCUAACGCUAGCUGCAAUGCAGUCAUCCACAAGGGGUAUCUGUCGACAGCACCCCUUGGGUAAAAGAAGCUUGAUAACCUCUUGGUGCAGAAUCCAACCCAAGGAGAUAUUACAAUAUCUCGUCACAUUCAAUCAGCAAACCCGAUUGACCCUUAUUUUCAUGAUUUCGAGCCAGCAGUCUCUGUGAAUGAGCAACUUCCCUCCUCCUUAGUGUCGUACAAUACUGUAGCUGAGAUGAACUUCUCUUGUUCUUGGACACUUCCGCAAGCCCUGCGGCACAGGAAUAAAAACAUUGAGUGUACUCUGCUUCCGAUGAUACAUUUUCCUCUUUGCGGGGGACUGAAACCCCUUACAAUAACACCAGUGGCGUCACUCCCACAACUGACUCGAUGAUUCCCACUGGUGAAACACUGUGCGAUUUCGCAGACAGAUAUCCUCUUCUCAUUUCCCAGGUACUGGAUUGGUUGCCACACGUGGAUACUGUAGUGACUGACAGGCCUCGACAGCCUCUGAGCGGUUUGAAGCACAAACACCAGGAGAUUUGUUUGAAAGGUUACAGCCAAUCUAAUAACAACGCGGCUGCUGACAACUCGUACAAAGGGUCCGACCUUUUCGUACAGAGAGGAGCGGGCCAGGCCUCGAGGGAUAACCUUAGAACACAUCUAAGAUACCACUGAGGUGUACCACACUGGUCGUAAAAUAAGUCCAGUGGGCUUUCCACCUCCAAAAGCAAAUGAUUAUUCCCUGCCAUGUGUAGUUUCAACUACCAUGCAACUAGUAAAACGCUCUAAUCGUGUGUUCUGGUAGGAUAACAUUUCAGAAUAAAUCGAUAGGAUAACUGGUCCCAUUGAGUACCAGGACCAAUGCCAGCACAGUUAGUCCAGCUACAAUCAGGAAGAAGGUUAGAGACCUCACAAGUCAAAUUGCUAUUGAUAACAGCGGCAGAGGAGUUUGUAGUCACACAGAUUGCAACAUGUGGAAGGGAAUCUCCAAAACACUCUUCUAAUGGUUAACACAAGCCUCUAAUAAAUAGAAUCCUCCAUUCAGUAGGAAAGUUAUUAGAAAUCAUGAACCAUGAUCACACCGCGUACGAGUGGUUCAGUGCUUAGAGAGUACUUCCGUCGUGAGGUUAGCGAGCUCCUCAGUGGAUAACUUAGCUAUGAAAUAGACUCUUUAAUACCUAUCACCACUACAAUGGUGUAAGACACAGUGACUUGUAGUAAAACUACAACAGGUCCCCUUAAAAUACAGUUGAAGUCGAAAGUUGACGUACACCUUAGCCAAAUACAUUUAAACUCUGUUUUUCACAAUUCCUGACAUUUAGUCCGAGUAAAAAUUCCCUGUCUUAGGUCAGUUAG